UAUUGGUCUGUCGCUGUUAACGUUUAGUGGGAAACACCAGAGUCGACGAUAUGUCGUUAGCUGUUUCACCGCAUCUCCAUCAUCCUCCGUCCACCGCGUACGCUAGUCGCCCGCUAUGUCGAGCUAGUGACGUUAGCGUUGCUUCAGGACAACCUGGGUGACAACAUCGCUGUUUCUUGCUAUUGCCAGAGCAGGCUCCCUUUCACUGCUAUUUCCUUGCCCAUGUUUAAAGAUGCAGUAAUUCUGGCCACUCAGGGGCAGCAGUAGGCCUACAAGCUGGAAACAAUGCUGACACAUGAAACACAAUAAUGCUUCUGUAAUUCCUGACCUUGAUGCUUCCUUGAGGAGACCGCAGCAGUCUCUGGGGAGCUUCCCAGUUUGCCAUUGACCACUUCAAAUGAACUUGAAAACCUUCCUUACAUAAAAGCUGCUGCGGAUCGAGACGCACCACAACAUCUUGCUUGGCGUCAGCUGUAGCGAGAAAACACACAGCCUUCUUGCUGGUGAGUUUGUGCAAAUCUGGCUUGCUGAAGGGUUGGAACUGAAGCUGGCAGUAUGUACAAGUCGGUGGCGUCAGAAUCUGUUUGCAGUUAACCAGUAAUGCAACAUUUUGAUUAGCAGGGUGUGGCGGGGUAAAAUGAUGGUUUCAUUUACCUGCGUGAAGGUACUAGUGUGCAUAGUGGAGGCCUGGAUGUGCAGCACCACCCUAUCCACCAGCGGUUUGGGACCGGUUACAAAACCUAUCCUCAGCCUAAAACACACAGACAAUUAGUAGUAGAAAGACAUACAGUACAUGCUGGUGAAGUUCUGCAUAAUGUGGCUCGGAAUAUAAAGUGACGUUUGCCGAUUCUAAUUCUGAUGUAGCUAUCCUGACGGAAAUUAAAGAAAAUUGUUUAAUAAAAAUAAGGCAGGUCAUUGACAGUCAGCACACAAUGUUCUAAUCUGGGGAGGUUUAAAUAUCUUGCCCUACGUCUCAGACUAGUCAAAGCUGCUAUGAUUAUGUCAAACAUCUGGUUUUUAAUGAUUUGGAUUUGGGAAAUGUGAGUGGCAUCUUAUAGUUUAAGAUGCUUAGGAUGUAAAUGUAAAAGGAAAUGUCUAUAAUGUGUUAAUAGGGGUUUUUAGGAAAGUUUUCAUAAUGUCCUCAAUGCAAGCUAAAGAAAACAAUAUGGUUUCCUAAAAACAAUCCAUCAGAUGUGACCAGUGGGGAUUACACAAGCAAAUAAAAUAAAAUACUAUACAAUAGACUGGGGGGGGGGGCGAAUCACCCUCCCAGUUUACAUAUCUGGUCCUGACUCGUUAAGGGAAGAGCACAAACACUGUGCUGUAGCAGAGUCAAAAUAACCUUAAAUGGCAACAGCAGAGCUUCAGAUGCACUGGGUUUAAACACACACACACACACACACCACCCACACAACACACACACACACACACACACACACACACACACACACACAGUCGUUUCGGAAGCUCACCCUGAAGACAGGAUCUUAGAGAAGGAGUCUGUCCUGAUGAUCCUCCCGUCGACAUCCAUGGAGAGAAACGUGGGAGCCCACGGCUGCCAAAUAGAUGAGACAUACAGGAACGUGAAUUCUUAUGUCAUCAAUUGAAUUGUUGACAUUCAUUUAUGGUUGUCCCAAAAGAUCAGAUCAUAAAGUAACCAAAAAAAAUGAGAAA